UAACCUGCCCUUAACUUCGGGAUAAGCCUGGGAAACCGGGUCUAAUACCGGAUACGACGGACCGCCGCAUGGUGGUCCGUGGAAAGCUUUAUGCGGUUUUGGAUGGACUCGCGGCCUAUCAGCUAGUUGGUUGGGGUAACGGCCCACCAAGGCGACGACGGGUAGCCGGCCUGAGAGGGUGACCGGCCACACUGGGACUGAGACACGGCCCAGACUCCUACGGGAGGCAGCAGUGGGGAAUAUUGCACAAUGGGCGAAAGCCUGAUGCAGCGACGCCGCGUGAGGGACGAAGGCCUUCGGGUUGUAAACCUCUUUCAGCAGGGAAGAAGCGAAAGUGACGGUACCUGCAGAAGAAGCGCCGGCUAACUACGUGCCAGCAGCCGCGGUAAUACGUAGGGCGCAAGCGUUAUCCGGAAUUAUUGGGCGUAAAGAGCUCGUAGGCGGUUUGUCGCGUCUGCUGUGAAAGCCCGGGGCUCAACCCCGGGUCUGCAGUGGGUACGGGCAGACUAGAGUGCAGUAGGGGAGACUGGAAUUCCUGGUGUAGCGGUGAAAUGCGCAGAUAUCAGGAGGAACACCGAUGGCGAAGGCAGGUCUCUGGGCUGUAACUGACGCUGAGGAGCGAAAGCAUGGGGAGCGAACAGGAUUAGAUACCCUGGUAGUCCAUGCCGUAAACGUUGGGCACUAGGUGUGGGGGACAUUCCACGUUUUCCGCGCCGUAGCUAACGCAUUAAGUGCCCCGCCUGGGGAGUACGGCCGCAAG
rnacentral:rRNA from 1 species